GGCCUCGUAGCUCAGUUGGCCGAGCAUUGGGCUAGUAUCCCAAAGGUCGCCGGUUCGAUUCCCACCGUGGUCA
rnacentral:tRNA from 1 species